rnacentral:tRNA from 1 species
GGAGAGGUACCCAAGUGGUCGAAGGGUCCGCACUCGAAAUGCGGUAGCCGGUUUACGCCGGGCAAGAGUUCGAAUCUCUUCCUCUCCGCCA